AUUGAACGCUGGCGGCAGGCCUAACACAUGCAAGUCGAGCGGAUGACGGGAGCUUGCUCCUUGAUUCAGCGGCGGACGGGUGAGUAAUGCCUAGGAAUCUGCCUGGUAGUGGGGGACAACGUUUCGAAAGGAACGCUAAUACCGCAUACGUCCUACGGGAGAAAGCAGGGGACCUUCGGGCCUUGCGCUAUCAGAUGAGCCUAGGUCGGAUUAGCUAGUUGGUGGGGUAAUAGCUCACCAAGGCGACGAUCCGUAACUGGUCUGAGAGGAUGAUCAGUCACACUGGAACUGAGACACGGUCCAGACUCCUACGGGAGGCAGCAGUAGGGAAUAUUGGACAAUGGGCGAAAGCCUGAUCCAGCCAUGCCGCGUGUGUGAAGAAGGUCUUCGGAUUGUAAAGCACUUUAAGUUGGGAGGAAGGGCAGUAAGUUAAUACCUUGCUGUUUUGACGUUACCGACAGAAUAAGCACCGGCUAACUCUGUGCCAGCAGCCGCCGUAA
rnacentral:rRNA from 1 species